rnacentral:ncRNA from 1 species
CCCUGACAGUCGCAUGGUGCGGCUGACUUUAGCCACGACAGGAGAUUCAAAUG